rnacentral:rRNA from 1 species
GGAUGCAAGCGUUAUCCGGAAUGAUUGGGCGUAAAGCGUCCGCAGGUGGCAGUUCAAGUCUGCGGUCAAAGACCGGGGCUUAACUUCGGAAAGGCAGUGGAAACUGAACAGCUAGAGUAUGGUAGGGGCAGAGGGAAUUCCUGGUGUAGCGGUGAAAUGCGUAGAUAUCAGGAAGAACAUCGGUGGCGAAGGCGCUCUGCUGGACCAUAACUGACACUCAGGGACGAAAGCUAGGGGAGCGAAUGGG